CUUUAUGGCAGCUGUGCGUGGGAGAUCUUCGGGUCUGCCGGUUUCUUGUGUCGCCGGUUCGCCAACCUGCGUACAGCCGCCACCCAU
rfam:Pseudomonas chlororaphis subsp. aureofaciens 30-84 chromosome, whole genome shotgun sequence.